AGUGAAUAGAUACCCAGGUAGUCCCAGCCGUAAACGAUGCUCGCUAGGUGUCAGGCAUGGCGCGACCGUGUCUGGUGCCGCAGGGAAGCCGUGAAGCGAGCCACCUGGGAAGUACGGCCGCAAGGCUGAAACUUAAAGGAAUUGGCGGGGAGCACAACAACGGGUGGAGCCUGCGGUUUAAUUGGACUCAACGCCGGACAACUCACCGGGGGCGACAGCAAUAUGUAGGCCAAGCUGAAGACUUUGCCUGAAUCGCUGAGAGGAGGUGCAUGGCCGUCGCCAGUUCGUACUGUGAAGCAUCCUGUUAAGUCAGGCAACGAGCGAGACCCGUGCCCACUGUUACCAGCAUGUCCUGGUACGGAUGGGUACGUCUGUGGGGACCGGCCGGUCGGUCAAUACGGAGGAAGGUGCGGGCCGACGGUAGGUCGAGUAUGCCCGAAC
rnacentral:rRNA from 1 species